rnacentral:lncRNA from 10 species
CUCAGAAUCACCAGGAACGUUCGAUAAAAAUGGAGACUUCCGGAACCUGCCCUAACCUACUGAACAGUAUCGUUGCUGGGCUGAUGGUCCUGGACAAACAGCUGUCUCUCUGUUCAUCAAACUUGAGUUCAUAGCCUUCCAGAGGUGGCUGCAAAGCAGGCGGUGUGCUCACCUGGGCCGAUCACACCUCUGAGGGACCGAGCGCUCUGAGGACGGUGCCCCAGGUCACACCCGUGAGGGGCACACAUCCCCUGGGCUUCAGAGCAACGCAGCUGUGUCCUCUCCACAAGGUGCUGAGGCAGUGAUGCUGCCGGGCGGUUCCACGGCCUCUCUCCCCAGGGCUCUGAGUGUCAGAGACACAUGGCUCCAGCUCCACACCCGAGCACCUGCUGUUUACGGUUUGUGCUGACCGGAUGCUGUUUCUCCUUCCAUCUCCACCUGCAAAUGUUCUGCUGACCCUCAGGCCGGUUUGAAGACCAGCACAGCCCAUGUGAGCAGGGCACAGGGCCCCAUCCUGAGUGGCUGGCCUGUCCGGGGGAGGAAGUUCCACCCCACACCCACCCCACCACCACAGGAUGUGCCCAGAAGGCGGAGGGACUGGCCACUGUGGGGGCUCCCAUGUCCAGGCCGGGCCUCCUCAGCAUAAAAUCAGCUGACAGCAGCCUCAACGCGCCACUGCCUGAGAGGACACCGCCUCUCCAAACCUGGGAAGAAGGCAGCCACGCCCUGGGGAGGGAACAGGUGGAGGUGGGUGCCAGGACUAGCCAGGACUUCCUCCCAAAUAUUUAGAAACUUGAUUGCAAUGAAAAGAUAGCAUCACUGAAUUAAAGACGUCAUUUAUUAUGGAGCUGAGAUUUGGUUUGCCCAGCAGCUUAAAACAAUGUCACUCACAGCCUUGUGGCACCUUGGGACGGGCAGGUGCCUACACAAUUAUUUACUUAAGAACAUACCUUCCUUUAAAAUAACCAAUGUUGUACUUAGAUAAAUGUAUUUACAUGGGAGACUUUCUGUCACAGAUUUGAUGUCUCGUGAUCAUUUCUCUUAGUAUACAUUAAAAGUUAAUUAUUGUCAGAAAAAGU